rnacentral:rRNA from 1 species
AACGAACGCUGGCGGCAUGCCUAACACAUGCAAGUCGAACGAAGCCUUCGGGCUUAGUGGCGCACGGGUGCGUAACGCGUGGGAAUCUGCCAUUGGGUUCGGAAUAACAGUUAGAAAUGACUGCUAAUACCGGAUGAUGUCUUCGGACCAAAGAUUUAUCGCCCAAGGAUGAGGCCGCGUAGGCUUAGGUAGUUGGUGGGGGAAUGGCCCACCAAGCCGACGAUCCUUAGCUGGUCUGAGAGGAUGAUCAGCAACACUGGGACUGAGACACGGCCCAGACUCCUACGGGAGGCAGCAGUGGGGAAUAUUGGACAAUGGGCGAAAGCCUGAUCCAGCAAUGCCGCGUGAGUGAUGAAGGCCUUAGGGUUGUAAAGCUCUUUUACCAGGGAUGAUAAUGACAGUACCUGGAGAAUAAGCUCCGGCUAACUCCGUGCCAGCAGCCGCGGUAA